UCUAUGUAGCUACUUGGUCAUUUAGAGGAAGUAAAAGUCGUAACAAGGUUUCCGUAGGUGAACCUGCGGAAGGAUCAUUAUUGAAUGUUGGUUAAUACACUGUGAACUGUCUCUUCGGAGCUAUAUAAACUCGUCUUGUUGUAAUUGCAUGUCUAAUACAAACAAAAUAUAACUUUUAACAACGGAUCUCUUGGCUCUCGCAUCGAUGAAGAACGCAGCGAAAUGCGAUAUGUAAUGUGAAUUGCAGAAUAGUGAAUCAUCGAAUCUUUGAACGCACCUUGCGCCUUUCGAGGCAUGCUGGUUUGAGCGCCUUAUAACCCUGGACUAUCAGCUUGCUGUUAGACCGAUUUGAGUGUUGCCGUAGGCUCGCUCUGAAUGCAUUAGCGAUUGAAGGCUUGUAACAGUGUAAUAAGAUUCCAUUGAAGCAAGUCCAGACCGCUCCUAACCGUCGUAAGACAACGCCUCCGGGCACCAUGACUAGGCAUCAAAGUAGUAGGACUACCCGCUG
rnacentral:rRNA from 1 species